rnacentral:lncRNA from 1 species
AUAUUGCCACAAGAUCUCUUUGUUCACAUUACCUUGCGUACAUAAGCAUUGCCUUCCACACCCAAAUAUCAUUGCACAAGUCCUUGCUUUUUGGCAUGUGGAAACUUCUUUUUAAUUUAUUGGUUCUUAAAAAAUAUAUGAUACUCUUUAGAAUUUGAUGAAAACCUUUAGCUCUCUCUCCUGGAAAAUACAUCUAUUUAUCGAAUAACACUAGGUUAAGACCUUUGUUCUAGUACGAUGAUAGUAUAAAAACUUCUUCACACCCCUCACUUCAUAGGAAAUUUGUUUUUAAUAAAGUUAUAUAUAAAGUGAAAUUUACUUUUUCCCACAAACUUGAAAUUUUAGAUGUGCCUCUAAGAUAGCAGCUUAAACGAGUAGAAUAUGGAAACAGUGUGGCGGAAAGUAAAACACGGGGCAAUCGUCUACUAUGAUUGAUAGUUUCAACCUUUGGGGGUAGUUGAGUCAGUGACAGUGGGGUUGAUUUCCAAAUUUGAUGGUUGGGACCUGGGUUGUAAGGCUCAAGCAUUUCUGGUGGUCUGCUGAAAACAUUUGCCAUAGUGAUAAACAGAUAAAUGGGUCACAAGAUUUUGAGGACUGUGGUCAGAAAUGGGAAAGAGGAAAGGAAUAUUUAGAACUAGGAAAAGCCCAUGACUUGGAAAUGGUCCUAUUGGCCAAACCAUGCUGAAGACUGCUUCAGAGAUAGGUCUGUUUGAAAAGAGAAACUAGGACUUUCCCAUCUGGUCUGACUGAAACUAAAGGAAUUCUCCCCAUGAUGAAUAAAUAUAUCAGCUAUGACAGAACUGUAGCAUUUACCAGGGUAAUCCAGAAUUUAGAUUUUACUGAAUUCGUAAAGACAAAAUUCUUAGGAAUUACAUUACCUUAAGCACAACCAUAGAACUCUUGAGUCUUUAUUAGAAAUUAUGCCAAUGUUUUUCUUGUAUGAGUCUCUUAGAAUGGAUCACUGCAUAUUAUUUUGCUAUAUCCUGGCAACGAUUUAUAGACAGGAAGUACUUGUAAAUAGUUUUCUGCCCCAGGAUCUUUGCACAUGUGCUUUCCUCUGCACUUUGCUUUUCUGAUAUUUUUAUGACCCCAUCCCUCAUUUCAUUGGGUUUUUUUCAGUUAAAUGACAUGCUGUGAGCUACCUCUAAUCAUCCUAUUUAAAUUGCAAUCUUUUUCUAAAUUCCUUAUUCCUUUGCCUUGCUUAAUUUUUCUCAUUAUUUAUCAUGAGCAACAUUGGCAAUAUCCUUCUUAUAUUUUAUAUUUAUUUUCUGUCUCCUCCAAUAUAAUGUAACUUCUGGGGUGGAAGAGUAUAUCUUCCUUGUCCACUGCUGUCUUGAUCAUCUGGAACUAGGCACAGAGGAGGCACUGAUAAAUAUUUAUUUAAUGAAUAGAUGACUAAUGGGAAAAUAGGUAAUUUAUUUUACCCAUCCAACAACAUUUAUGCAGUACUUUCUACAUGCAGGUAGCCAUAGUUGUCACUUGGUAUAUGACAGAGAAGAAAGACAUGAUCUCUGGUCUGAAGGAGCUUACAGUUUAUCCAAGAAGAUAAGCCCAUACAUUAAAAAAAAAAAGAGCAAUGAUAUAAAUGAUAUAAACUACCAGACACUGCAGAAGAGAGCUCUGUUAACUCUUCCUGGCAUAGAGAGGUGCUGCUGAGGGGUUGAUCUUUGAGCUGUAUUCUUAAGGAUGAAGUAGGAAUUCACCAGGACAAAAAAAUUUGCAAAAGGAAAAUGAGUGUCAUUUAGUGUGCAGGGGUGUGUGGUUAUAGUCAAAGGGCCUGCUGUUGGGGUGGUGUUUUCAGGCAUGUGAAUGCAAAUGGAAAAAGAGAAUGACCAUCAGCCCUUUGACACUCAGCAUCUCUGAAGAGCACCCUUGGCUAGCAGCAAGGACUGCUCAAGACAGUAUUUCUAUCUGUGUGGUCUUCUUCGCCUCUUAGCCAGCAUUAUGCUUUUGCUCAAAAAGAGCCACCUCAUUCUCUGAUUGUUUUAUGCCAAGUUGGUGUGUUGCCUGUGAUUGUUUCCCAGCAUUCCACAGCUUGAAGUUUGCUUUAGUAUAUCCUUAUGGUGUUUCUUAUGCCUGCCCUGCUUGCAGGCUACAUAUGUUGUACCAUUUUACACUUGGAGACCUUCCAAAAUGUGUGAGAGAGAAUGAGACCAAAGUGGUUGCCUUUAACCAUAAGCGGGUAGACAGGCAAAGAAUCCUGGAUUCCCCGAAUCAGUUGAAACAUACUUGGGAAGUCAACUAGCCAAUUCUCUGGACUCCUGGCAGAACUGUAGGAAAGCCAGUCCAGGAAUACUGCUAACAUUUACGCAUACAUGACUAGAUGAACUUUUAGAUUGAUUCUAAGUAACAACUGACUAUUGAAAAUUGAACAUGGAGUAUACAACCUUAACUGCUUACAAGUUUGCAUUUUUGGUAAUAAAUUUAUUCAUGCAAAUGCAUUAUGACAUUAAGAAAUAAACCAAGUUAAUAACGGCCUUCUAUUUCUUGGCAUAAGUUAAGAAAUUAAAACAUGGUUUUUGGGAGGAAUUCAUUUUUGAGAGCUCUAUUAUUGAAAUGGAAUUCUUUUAUCUUCAUGUUGACACUGACUUUUCAGUGAUACAAAUGGUACUGGUUGGAAGGCAAUCUUUUGCAAGGUAAUCAAUUCACCUCUGUAAUUGGGGCCUUAUACAGUCUACAGACUUAAGAAGGAUCCCUCACAAGGCGUACAGAAUAUAGUAAUGGCAAAAAAUAAGAAUUAUUGGAAACUGAUAAACACAGAGAUCACUUAAGAAAUAUGGCAGAUAUAAUAACACACUAUGAAGGUACAAGACAGGAUCCAGCUCUUCAAAGAGUUGUUUUACUAACUGGGGAGACUGCAUAUACACACCUGAAAAGGGUACAUGGUGCCUGCUGAAUAUUCUGAACAAGCCCUGGGAUAACAUUGUGGCUAAGCAUUCUGGAUAGUCAUGUCAUUGGCAAGUACACCAGAAAGUUGGAGGUUGGAGAAAUUGCUGUGGGUUGAAGGGACAGAUGAGGUACUCAGGAUGGACGUGAACCAGAAAGGGCUUGAAUGGUAGGCUUUGCAUGGAUAUAGAGAGAUAGAAAAAUAGCAAAGAUAGCUUGGAUUAGGAAAUGAAACAAAACAAAGCACAUGAGUAAAUGUGUAAAAUGGUCAAGAAGAGAGCAUAUGUAGUCAAACCGGAAAAUCCAAUUUGGGCAUUCCCACUGUGGCUAGCAGUAAUGAACCCAACUGGUAUUGUGAGGAUGCAGGUUUAAUCCUGGGCCUCGCUCAGUAGAUUAAGCAUCCAGUGUUGCCGUGAGCUGUGGUCACAGACAUGGCUCAGAUCUGGCAUUGCUAUAACUGUGUCCUAGGCUGGCAACUGCAGCUUUGAUUCGACCCCUAGCCUGGGAACCUCCAUAUGCCCAGGUGCAGCCCUAAAAUG